rnacentral:lncRNA from 1 species
GCACAUCAGGAAGAUACUUUAAUAAUUAAUAAGUGAUGCACGGUGGGCUCCACAGUGUCGCACUGUUAGAAAUUUACAUUUGGGGCCCGUAAGGCAGACUUUUCAAAGUCUACAUUAUACUGUCCUUAGAAUGAAUGAACACAUGAACAAAUAAAGGCACAGUUUACUAAGUACCUAGCAGUGAGCUUCAGGGGACACGGAGAACAAAGGGAUUCCACAGCUGAUGUCUCUACUCAAGAAACUGAGAGCACUCUGGCUUCCUUCAGCCAGAUUUUAUCCCCAGAUUCUCUGUCUCCUGGAAAUAUUAAAAGAGACAUGUUUCAUCUAUUCUUACUAGCUCAUGGCUUAUUCAUAUCACCACGAAACCUGCUUGUUUAGGCCUGUGCUGGCUUUGCUAUCCAGAGGCACAAUGGUUGGAUUUUUCUUCCUUUCCUUUAAGC